GAUGAACGCUGGCGGCGUGCCUAAUACAUGCAAGUCGAGCGAACAGAUAAGGAGCUUGCUCCUUUGACGUUAGCGGCGGACGGGUGAGUAACACGUGGGUAACCUACCUAUAAGACUGGGAUAACUUCGGGAAACCGGAGCUAAUACCGGAUAACAUUUGGAACCGCAUGGUUCUAAAGUGAAAGAUGGUUUUGCUAUCACUUAUAGAUGGACCCGCGCCGUAUUAGCUAGUUGGUAAGGUAACGGCUUACCAAGGCAACGAUACGUAGCCGACCUGAGAGGGUGAUCGGCCACACUGGAACUGAGACACGGUCCAGACUCCUACGGGAGGCAGCAGUAGGGAAUCUUCCGCAAUGGGCGAAAGCCUGACGGAGCAACGCCGCGUGAGUGAUGAAGGGUCUCGGCUCGUAAAACUCUGUUAUUAGGGAAGAACAAACGUGUAAGUAACUGUGCACGUCUUGACGGUACCUAAUCAGAAAGCCACGGCUAACUACGUG
rnacentral:rRNA from 1 species